rnacentral:lncRNA from 10 species
UUUGGAUGUGGGCUCAGACAUUAGGAGCAGGCAGUAUCUUUUCUUUUUCUUUUUCUUUCUUUCUUUUUUUUUUUUUUUGACAGGAUGGGCUGGGGUUGGGGGAGGAGGAAGCAAGAAUUAAGCAGAGAAGGCAAGCUCCUUUCUGUUCAUCUAACUCAAACUGACGAGUCAUUGAGCUGACUCCAAUCAGCAGGAUCCCCUGGUCGCCUGACUCAGGCCUCCCCAGUCAGAGGUAGAGUCUGCGGUGGACAGACAGACAGGUCUGGAGAGGCUGGAAUGCAAGGAAACUUGUUCCUUAGUGGGCACAAUGAGAACACCAGCAGCCAAGGGAGGAAGCGAGGAGUCCUUGAAUUCUCUAAGAACCUACUGCAGACUGCCUUUUGGCAAGUGUUCAUGGAGCUGUGCUCUAGGAGGAGUUCCUGGUCGAGCAGUCUGGCCUGGGAAUGGUGGUGAAGCACCAGCCCUGUCUUCUUGCAUCCUGACUUAUAACUGGGAGUCUCCAGUCUUCCUUCUGCCACAGCCCAGUGUGCCUUGUUUCGAGCCAGGCAAAAUGGCUCACCAUCCCUGAAGAAACAGCCCACUUACACUGUCCCAGGUUCACUGUCACACCCUUUCUUUCUCUACAUAUCUGCGCAUCCUUCAAAGGCCUGAUCAAAUGUCACUUCUUUGGGGAAGCCUGCCAUCAUGGAUACCUACUUUUUGCUGAGCUCAUAUUACUUUUACCUGCAUACCUUCACACCUAACUUAUCAUCAUACGUUUUAUAGGUGCCCAGUAAAUAUAUGUUGGUAAAAUGAAUAGUCCUGAUGUACUUUAAUGUUAUUUUGGAUAAAAGUCAUACAUUAAAUAAACAAAUAGGAUUUCGCUGUAUAGGUUUCUGGAUGAAAUUCACAAGAACUUUGUUGAACUUUGUGUUUUAUUUUUUUAGUUCAUGGUGUAUGGGUUAACCUGCAUUCAA